UACGUAGGGGGCAAGCGUUGUCCGGAUUUACUGGGUGUAAAGGGUGCUCAGGCGGGUUUGUAAGUCAGUGGUGAAAUCCCGGAGCUUAACUCCGGAACUGCCAAUGAUACUGCAAGUCUAGAGAUCGGGAGAGGUUGAUGGAAUAUCUGGUGUAGCAGUGAAAUGCGUAGAUAUCAGAUAGAACACCAAUGGCGAAGGCAGUCAACUGGCCCGAUUCUGACGCUAAAGCACGAAAGUGUGGGUAGCAAACAGG
rnacentral:rRNA from 1 species